AUUGAACGCUGGCGGCAGGCCUAACACAUGCAAGUCGAGCGGAUGAAGGUAGCUUGCUACCUGAUUCAGCGGCGGACGGGUGAGUAAUGCCUAGGAAUCUGCCUGGUAGUGGGGGACAACGUUUCGAAAGGAACGCUAAUACCGCAUACGUCCUACGGGAGAAAGUGGGGGAUCUUCGGACCUCACGCUAUCAGAUGAGCCUAGGUACGAUUAGCUAGUUGGUGAGGUAAAGGCUCACCAAGGCGACGAUCGUUAACUGGUCUGAGAGGAUGAUCAGUCACACUGGAACUGAGACACGGUCCAGACUCCUACGGGAGGCAGCAGUGGGGAAUAUUGGACAAUGGGCGAAAGCCUGAUCCAGCCAUGCCGCGUGUGUGAAGAAGGUCUUCGGAUUGUAAAGCACUUUAAGUUGGGAGGAAGGGCAGUAAGUUAAUACCUUGCUGUUUUGACGUUACCGACAGAAUAAGCACCGGCUAACUUCGUGCCAGCAGCCGCGGUAAAAC
rnacentral:rRNA from 1 species